UAUACUUAUUCUUGUUUAUUUUGUGUUAGAGAGCUUAAUUUGAAAAAUAAUUUAUUAUUUAAGUAAUUUUUAAUAAAAUAAUAAAAUGACUAUAGUUUAUUAGUACAGUGGUGGAAUGUAAGUUAAUGUGUAAUAAAGAAUGUUUGUAUUACUAUACCUUGUGUAUCAGGGAAGCUCUACAUAAAUUAACGAUUAUAAAUAUCUCGAAAUAAAAACAGCUAAAUUUAUAUUAUUGUGCUUGUAGAAUAAAGCUUUGAAAUAUAAAUUUAAAGGUGAAAUGUUAUUAGAGUUUUAUUAUAUCUGGUUUUUUUAAAAUAAAAUUUAAUUUUGAUUUUAAAUAUAAUAGAUUUAAAAUUUAACUGUAGGAGGGAGUAGCUUCUUAUAGAUCCUUUUUAAUAGUUAUAUAUAUAAAGUAUUUUGAAACUAGGCUUAAAGGUAGUCAUGUUAGAAAAGUGUUAUUACUUACUGAUAAUAAAUUUUUAUUUAAGAUAACUUUAAACAAGUAUAAAACCUUUUUAUAAAAUAAAAUCAUAAAAGUGAUAAUGAGUUUAUUAGUAUAACUAAUGUAAACUGAUUGUAAAAUAUAAUAACUAAGACAUUAAAAUAUUUAAUGUAAAUGUAAAGGAACUCGGCAAAUAAAUUUCUUGCCUGUUUAUCAAAAACAUGUCUAUUUGAAGAUAUAAAAAGUCUAAUCUGCCCACUGAAAUUAAUAUUAAAGGGCCGCAGUAUAUUGACUGUGCAAAGGUAGCAUAAUCGUUUGGUUUUUAA
rnacentral:rRNA from 1 species